GGAAUCCUGGACCAGCCCUUCACACCUCACAGGGGAAUCCUCAAUUGCUUAGUUUUCGGCAUCCUGUACCUUAAACUGAUAAUAUAGCCAAAGAUGUUCCUGUUCCUCUUGCCUCUACCCGCCAAGCACUCGGAUUACAGGAAUGCACUGCCAUUUCAGGUUUUAUGCCUUGCCAUAAAUCAAGACUGGAGCUACAAGCACACCAGACAAGCACUCUUUUCAGCUGAGUCAUAUCCCCAGCUCCAGGGUAUAGAUUUUUGGCAUCCAUACUGCCAAUCACUGCAUCAUACUGAAAGCACUGGA
rnacentral:lncRNA from 1 species